CUCCGUGACUCCUACGGGAGGCAGCAGUGGGGAAUAUUGCACAAUGGGCGCAAGCCUGAUGCAGCAACGCCGUGUGAGUGAAGAAGGUUUCGGAUCGUAAAACUCUGUCCUAAGGGAAGAAACAAAUGACGGUACCUUAGGAGGAAGCCCCGGCUAACUACGUGCCAGCAGCCGCGGUAAUACGUAGGGGGCAAGCGUUAUCCGGAAUCACUGGGCGUAAAGGGUGCGUAGGCGGCUUAGCAAGCCAGGGGUGAAAGGCAUUGGCUCAACCAAUGUAAGCCUUUGGAACUGUUAAGCUUGAGUGCAGGAGAGGUAAGUGGAAUUCCUAGUGUAGAGGUGAAAUUCGUAGAUAUUAGGAGGAACACCAGUGGCGAAGGCGACUUACUGGACUGUAACUGACGCUGAUGCACGAAAGCGUGGGUAGCGAACAGGAUUAGAUACCCUGGUAG
rnacentral:rRNA from 1 species